CGAACGCUGGCGGCAGGCCUAAUACAUGCAAGUCGAACGGCUCUGCGGAGCAGUGGCGGACGGGUGAGUAACGCGUGGGAAUGUGCCCUUUGGUACGGAACAAGACAGGGAAACUCGUGCUAAUACCGUAUGUGCCCUUCGGUGGAAAGUUUUAUGGCAAUUGGAGCAGGCCGUGUUGGAUUAGGUAGUUGGUGAGGUAAAGGCUCACCAAGCCGACGAUCCAUAGCUGGUCUGAGAGGAUGAUCAGCCACACUGGGACUGCGACACGGCCCAUACUCCUACGGGAGGCAGCAGUAGGGAAUCUUGCGCAAUGGGCGAAAGCCUGACGCAGCCAUGCCGCGUGUAUGAUGAAGGUCUUAGGAUUGUAAAAUACUUUCACCGGGGAAGAUAAUGACGGUACCCGGAGAAGAAGCCCCGGCUAACUUCGUGCCAGCAGCCGCCGUAA
rnacentral:rRNA from 1 species